rnacentral:rRNA from 1 species
UACGAAGGGGGCUAGCGUUGCUCGGAAUCACUGGGCGUAAAGCGCACGUAGGCGGAUCUUUAAGUCAGGGGUGAAAUCCUGGAGCUCAACUCCAGAACUGCCUCUGAUACUGGGGAUCUUGAGUCCGGAAGAGGUAAGUGGAACUGCGAGUGUAGAGGUGAAAUUCGUAGAUAUUCGCAAGAACACCGGUGGCGAAGGCGGCCAACUG